AAGAAAAUUGAAAAUCGAAAGUCAAAACGUAAUUUAGAAAAAUUGCACCACGUCAACAGCGCAGUCAGUAACCCCAGCCAACCAGGACAUGCCGCGUGGCAGAGACGCUGACGCGGGAGGCCACACAGAAGGGAGCCACGUGGGCGAUCUGCGUGUGCGCGAUCGAACGGCUGAGAUCCCUUCCUGCGCGCAUGGACGGUCCUGAUUGCAUCGCGAUGAACGGCCCAUAUUCAUUUCCUAUUUAAUCGCGAUUGGACGGUCCAGAUUGAAUCACGAUGGACGGCUCAGAUUAAAAGCGGAUGGUUAUAAAUAAUCUCAUCCACACCCAAACC
rnacentral:lncRNA from 1 species